rfam:Lucilia cuprina strain LS Scaffold14, whole genome shotgun sequence.
GGCAAAAUCACUCUGUGUUAUCAUUUUAUUAAACAGUGAUAAAACAAUUUGUAUUUUUGCCAGAUAAAGAGCAAAAUAACGCUUUACACUAUUAUGUUAAACUAUAUCCAAACAUAACAGUGAUAUAAUUUUGCUACACUUU